UCCUACGGGAGGCAGCAGUGGGGAAUAUUGCACAAUGGGCGCAAGCCUGAUGCAGCAACGCCGCGUGAGGGACGACGGCCUUCGGGUUGUAAACCUCUUUUAGUAGGGGAGAAGCGAAAGUGACGGUACCUGCAGAAAAAGCACCGGCUAACUACGUGCCAGCAGCCGCGGUAAUACGUAGGGUGCAAGCGUUAUCCGGAAUUAUUGGGCGUAAAGAGCUCGUAGGCGGUUUGUCGCGUCUGCUGUGAAAACUGGAGGCUCAACCUCCAGCCUGCAGUGGGUACGGGCAGACUAGAGUGCGGUAGGGGAGAUUGGAAUUCCUGGUGUAGCGGUGGAAUGCGCAGAUAUCAGGAGGAACACCGGUGGCGAAGGCGGUUCUCUGGCAAUGUUCUGACGCUGAGGAGCGAAAGUGUGGGGAGCGAACAGGAUUAGAUACCCUGGUAGUCCACACCGUAAACGUUGGGCGCUAGGUGUGGGACACAUUCCACGUGUUCCGUGCCGCAGCUAACGCAUUAAGCGCCCCGCCUGGGGAGUACGGCCGCAAGGCUAAAACUCAAAUGAAUUGACGGA
rnacentral:rRNA from 1 species